GUUGCUGAACGGAAGUAGAAUCAUAACAGAGUCAUGGGGUGUCGUUCACGCGAACUUUUCGACGUCGCAAAUGUGUUUCCCCCAUCAUUUCCAGCGACGUGAAUGCGCCACUAAAGCGGAAAAACCUGAACGAAUUGUGGUGGAGGCAACAGAGGAAGAGCCAUACUUACACCGUCUGUGGAUCUAAUUUAAACUGAAUUCUGCGGUAACAACGAGGUUUAAUUCUUUAUCAACAGAUCCACAUCUGAGGUCAUAGUGUGAAUCUAAGAUGUCUGGGAGCCUUGAUUUGAGGAUGGAGAGCGGAGAGAGGGAACAAUUGGCUUCUCCCCAGAAUGAACCAACAGCCUCUGAGGGCUUCGGAAAGUUCCAGCGAUUGAAGCCCACAAUACUCGGAGCGAUUGAAGUAACAAUUGGGAUCUUCAUGGCACUGACCGCAAUCACGUAUCUGGCUGUCGAUGUCGACCCUUACCUAACGGCAGUCCUCUUCUGGGGAAUCCUCAUCUGGAACCAAAGAGUUCUGGUGAUGUUGUCCCCUACAGUACAUCCCUGCUGGGGGUCUGACCAUCGCUGCUGACAGGAAACCCACCAGGGCCAAGGUGUGCGCUGCGUUGGGGAUGAAUGUGCUGGUGGCUCUCUCGACCGUCGCUGGAAGUCCUCUUCAUGGCUUUGCUAUUGUAAUAUUUGGGUUUGAAGAGUGCGUAACUCUGUGUCACAGUGAAUUUGUCAUGCUGGCAGCGUCCAUCUUGCUGUUCAUCAUCUCCAUAAUCGUUGUUGCAUCUGCAGUGUCUGCUCUGUGUUCCUCUAGAAAGCCAUCAAAAGAACACACAGUCAUCUAAGAGGAACUUUUUGUUGGUUCUUUCAAUCCCUAUGUGAAAAAAUAUUAUACUUCAACUACACUUUUGACAGGAUGUACUAAGUACACUUUUAGUAUGUAACUGUAUUCUGUACUAAUUUCGUCGCAUUCAAGCAUACCAAAAUGUACUAAGGUAUACCUUAUGUCAGGGCUAUUCAAAUACAAAUUCAGUUGGGCAAGUUUUUCUAAACAAGAAAUUCAGUUGGGCCAGACAUUUUCAGCAGCAAGUAAUGACAAAUUUUGGACCAACACAAAAAUGUAUUGAAAAACACAAACGUUUUAUUAAUUGUCAUAUCUGAAAAAUUACAUUGAUACAUCUUUGGUGAAAUCUGACCAAGGCAAAACUCUGAAAACCAAAUAGUGCACAAUAUUAGGCCUGUCAACAGCCAGUUUCCUUUUUGAAACAAAAUAAAUAUUUGUCAUAUCUGACCAAUAAGCAAAACACAAGGUGCAUCGAAAACAAAAUAGUGCCCAUUUAUCGGAGGUUUCCUUAUUUAAAUAAAUAAAAUAAACAUUUCGGUCACAUAUUAAAACAAGAAUAUCCCCCUGGGAUCAAUAUGCCAAAGUGGAUGAAAAAAACAGAACUAGGCAUAUUAAAGCUUAGUAAACAAACCCAAAACAAGAAAUAUCUAAGUAGCUUAACACGCAUGAAUACUUUGUUGCACAUUUAGUUACACAUCCUUUUGUUGCUAUGUAUGCAACAGUUUCACUGCUGAGUUCUCAGUGGGAGAUGUGACAUCUUUUGUUCUGAAUGAGAGCAGUGAUUCUGGGCUCAUAAGAUGUCAAUGCAAUCCGAAGGCAUUCGUGAAGUGUGUACUGUCAGACAGUGAGCAAAGAGAGCUUUUUUUUAAAUUGAUGUGUGAGAAGCUUGAUUCACAUGUGUAUGUUGAGCCAAACAUACUUAGCACGAGGACUGCUACUCUCUUGACGUUAGGGAACUGAUGUUUGUUGACAUCAGCCCAUAACCUGGCAGGCCCGUUGGUGCGCAGCUCCUGUGCCAUCGUUAAGGAUGACCGCAUGUCCACAAGUUUGGGAAUGAAUUUCCCCUCAUCAAUGGGAACGGCCACCUCCUUUGCUUUGGCGGAUAAAGCCCCUUCUAUUGUGACAGUGAACGGGUCUCUGGCAAAACACAUCACCUCUGUUGGCAAAGCAAGUCCAUCCAAUCGACCAGCAAAGAUUUAUUUUAACCUCGCAACGAAAUUUGUCAUCACAGCGGUAAUGCUUGCCGGGGAUGAGAUGCAUUUGCAGAGCGUCGGCCAAUGCAACAUUCGGCCUGUGCUCGAGUCAGUCCCGAAAAGAUCCAGUUUGGCUUGGGAUGCGAGCAUCUGUUCCACCAGUUCAAUGACAGUUUUGUCCCUGCCUUGUAGUCACACAUUUAAGUCAUUCAGGUGUUUGAAUAUGUCACUGAGAAAGCUGACAUCGCCAAUGAAGUUGUCACCCAGCAUUCGGUUCACGUCUGUUUCGGCCUUCUUAUGCUUUCUGCUGCGGAGGAAGGCUGUGAUUUCCUCUCCACAGAAACGCUCGAGCGCUCUGCCUUUGGACAGCCCCCUGACGUCGUUGUGCAAAAGCAGGUCAUGGUGCUCAGCAGACAUGUCUGACAGCAGCAUGCGGAAUAAGCGGUGUUGGAGCCUUGAUGUGGAGCGGAUACUACUACACUACACAACACUACUUUCCAACACGUGUGACGUGUAACUUCACAUUCCCUGGCCAUAUGUUUGCCGUGAUGUGACUGGAUGGAAAGUAAGCACUUUUGUGAGAACCGCUCAUUUAAACAACUUUAAACUCAACAUCGCUAUUGGGUCCCGAGCAAAACAACCGCCGAGUGUGAAGCCGUCGAGCUAAUCGAAGGAGAGACAGACGGACAUACAGAGAGAUUCCUGCUAUUGUAGUUUGAUUAUCUGUACCUUGGCUUCGACCUUUUCAGGCUCAAGCUGAUCUCUGGCCUCCCCUUUUUCCCCCUUCCCAGUCAGGGUAGACUUGGCCAGGGUCUCUUUUCCAAACUCAAUGUGGCCAGCUCCUCCUCAGUGUAACCUUGUGAAGGAUUGUUGACAAUAAUGCACGCUGUAUUUACACAAUGUUUUUUUAUAAUAUAUAUCUUAUUUAUAUUUACAAUUGUUGCAUCUAUUUGUGUUUGUUAAAAACACCUGCCAGAGUCCAAUUCCUUGUAUGUUGUUCAUACUUGGCUAAUAAAGCCGAUUCCGAUUCUGAUUAACCCAUCACAUGAAUGUAAAGUUUAAAUAUAUUUACUAUAGUAAAUGAGUCUUGUUUCAACUUCUUCAUGUUCGUGUGAGUGGCUGAAUCUGCGUUGUGUAUUUCUCUUAAGUAGAGGCGUGACCAAGGAUCUCAGUCCGGACUCAGGAAAUCCAACGUUAACCAAUCCUCCAACUCCUCUUCCCAAGAGAAUCAGAACAAAAGGGCCACGUAAAUACAACUUUAUCACAAAAAGGUUUGAAAUCAAAGAUAUAAGACAUACCUGAAGAUAAAUAUAAAACAACAGCUUCCUUUCAGAAUGUGCCCUUUAACAAUCCUCCAACUCCUACACAAAGCACACAGAGGGGGAGGGGUACUAGCAUGACUACACCAAGGUCAGGUGCAUGCCAGCAUGUCGUAAUAAAAUAUAACGUUCUCCAAAACACUGCAAUCUAUGCAUUGAUAUUUACAUGACACUUCCAUUAAACAAUGUAUAGUCAAAAUAAUUAAUAUAAAUAAUGGUAAACUAUAAGAUGGUUAAAGACUUGAUCACAAAAUGGGGGGAAAUAAAUGCACACACCACUUCCCAAGAGAAUCAGAACCAAAGGGAAGAGGGCAGGGCGGGGGGACAGGAAACUUAUGGGGUUCUCAGAGAUGUGGGCGGGAUUAGGGAAGGAGGUGGAGCUAAAUCAAAUAACUAAAUCAAAUAGAAAGGGGAACAUAAGGCAGCUGGAAAGCUAAACUUUAAAACUGUAAAAGGCAAUUUUGUGUAAUUAUAACUAAAGGUAUAUUACACCCUGUUACACUUGCUCUGUUAAGUUGUUAAUUAACAAUAGGCAUGAACCAAAAUUCUCUCUCUGAAGUUUGUUUAUUAACUCAACGACCAGCGACCAGCUGGUCGGUUGACUCUGCGACCAGCAUUGAGUUAGCAUUGAUUGGACACAGAGGUGGCGCAUGUAUACAAUAGGUACCUAUCCUAUGAAAUACCUUGACAGUAGUUCUUGAGUCAUUUAGCACAAUAUUAAACAGCUUAAACCAUCA